AAAGUUCCCUUCGGGGAGCGAGUAGAGUGGCGCACGGGUGAGUAACACGUAGGUAAUCUACCUUUGGAUGGGGAAUAACAACCGGAAACGGUUGCUAAUACCGCAUAAUGCAGCGGCACCUAAUGGUGACAGUUGUUAAAGCGGGGGAUCGUAAGACCUCGCGUCUGAAGAGGAGCCUGCGGCAGAUUAGCUAGUUGGUAAGGUAACGGCUUACCAAGGCGAUGAUCUGUAGCCGGCCUGAGAGGGCGGUCGGCCACACUGACACUGACAUACGGGUCAGACUCCUACGGGAGGCAGCAGUCGGGAAUUUUGGGCAAUGGGCGAAAGCCUGACCCAGCAACGCCGCGUGAAGGAUGAAAUCCCUCGGGAUGUAAACUUCGCAAGAACGGGAAGAAUAAGUAAGGGUUAAUAUCCCUUACGAUGACGGUACUGUUUGUAAGCUCCGGCUAACUCCGUGCCAGCAGCCGCGGUAAUACGGGGGGAGCAAGCGUUGUUCGGAUUUACUGGGCGUAAAGGGCGCGUAGGCGGCCACUGCAAGUCAGUUGUGAAAUCUCCGGGCUUAACCCGGAAAGGUCAGCUGAUACUGCAGGGCUAGAGUGCAGAAGGGGCAACUGGAAUUCUCGGUGUAGCGGUGAAAUGCGUAGAUAUCGAGAGGAACACCUGCGGCGAAGGCGGGUUGCUGGGCUGACACUGACGCUGACAGCGCGAAAGCUAGGGGAGCGAACGGGAUUAGAUACCCCGGUAGUCCUAGCCUUAAACGAUGAAUGCUUGGUGUCUGGGGUUUUAUAGUCCCCGGGUGCCGUCGCUAACGC
rnacentral:rRNA from 1 species